CAUCCCGCUGGUUCGUGGGUCGUGAUUGCUGGAAUCCAUGACCUGAGUCAGCGAGGGCACCGUCAGAAACGUGCCGUCAAGCGCAUUUUCCUUCAUCCAGCAUUUGACAGGAUCACCAUGGAUUAUGAUAUUGGGCUCUUACAGCUAGCUGAGCCCCUUCGGUUCAAUCGCUAUGUCCGUCCAGUGUGUCUCCCCGAGCAAAACCAGGAGAUACGUGCUUCUAGUGUAUGCAUAGUCACAGGAUGGGGGAGUCACCACCCAGGUGGAGAGAAGACCAGCCAACUGCAGCAGGUGCAGGUGCCCAUCC